rnacentral:rRNA from 1 species
GAUGAACGCUGGCGGCGUGCUUAACACAUGCAAGUCGAACGGAAAGGCUCCUGCUUGCAGGGGUACUCGAGUGGCGAACGGGUGAGUAACACGUGGGUGAUCUGCCCUGCACUUCGGGAUAAGCCUGGGAAACUGGGUCUAAUACCGGAUAGGACGAUGGUUUGGAUGCCAUUGUGGAAAGUUUUUCGGUGUGAGAUGAGCUCGCGGCCUAUCAGCUUGUUGGUGGGGUAAUGGCCUACCAAGGCGUCGACGGGUAGCCGGCCUGAGAGGGUGUACGGCCACAUUGGGACUGAGAUACGGCCCAGACUCCUACGGGAGGCAGCAGUGGGGAAUAUUGCACAAUGGGCGCAAGCCUGAUGCAGCGACGCCGCGUGGGGGAUGACGGCCUUCGGGUUGUAAACUCCUUUCGCUAGGGACGAAGCGCAAGUGACGGUACCUGGAGAAGAAGCACCGGCUAACUACGUG